UACGGAGGGUGCGAGCGUUGUCCGGAAUCACUGGGCGUAAAGGGCGCGUAGGCGGCCUGAUAAGUCGGGGGUGAAAUCCUGCGGCUUAACCGCAGGGCUGCCUUCUAGACUGUCAGGCUAGAGCACAGUAGAGGCAGGUGGAAUUCCCGGUGUAGCGGUGGAAUGCGUAGAGAUCGGGAAGAACAUCAGUGGCGAAGGCGGCCUGCUGGGCUGUUGCUGACGCUGAGGCGCGACAGCGUGGGGAGCAAACAGG
rnacentral:rRNA from 1 species